rnacentral:rRNA from 1 species
GGUGAACGCUGGCGGCGUGCUUAAGACAUGCAAGUCGAACGGGCUCUUCGGAGCUAGUGGCGCACGGGUGAGUAACGCGUAACUGACCUACCCCAAAGUCGCGGAUAACGAUUCGAAAGAAUCGCUAAUACGUGAUGUGCUGUCAGAUUGUGUUCUGCCAGUAAAGAUUGAUUGCUUUGGGAUGGGGUUGCGUUCCAUCAGCUAGUUGGUGGGGUAAAGGCCCACCAAGGCGACGACGGAUAGCCGGCCUGAGAGGGUGGCCGGCCACAGGGGCACUGAGACACGGGUCCCACUCCUACGGGAGGCAGCAGUUAGGAAUCUUCCACAAUGGGCGAAAGCCUGAUGGAGCGACGCCGCGUGAGGGAUGAAGGUCUUCGGAUCGUAAACCUCUGAAUCAGGGACGAAAGACACUUCGGUGGGAUGACGGUACCUGAGUAAUAGCACCGGCUAACUCCGUGCCAGCCGCCGCCGUAAGAC